ensembl:lncRNA
UAGUUGACUGGUCUCCUCUGUAGUUGAUUGGUCUCCUCUGUAGUUUACUGGUCUCCUCUGGUCUCUGUAGUUGACUGGUAUCCUCUGGUCUCUGUAGUUGACUGGUCUCCUCUGGUCUCCUCUGUAGUUGACUGGUCUCCUCUGGUCUCCUCUGUAGUUUGCUGGUCUCCUCUGGUCUCUGUAGUUGACUGGUCUCCUCUGGUCUCCUCUGUAGUUGACUGGUCUCCUCUGGUCUCCUCUGUAGUUUGCUGGUCUCCUCUGGUCUCUGUAGUUGACUGGUCUCCUCUGUAGUUGACUGGUCUCCUCUGUAGUUGACUGAUCUCCUCUGGUCUCCUCUGUAUUUUACUGGUCUCCUCUGUAGUUGACUGGUCUCCUCUGGUCUCUUCUGUAGUUGACUUGUCUCCUCUGUAGUUGACUGGUCUCCUCUGGUCUCCUCUAUAUUUGACUGGUCUCCUCUGAUCUCCACUGUAGUUGACUGGUCUCCUCUGGUCUCUGUAGUUGACUGGUCUCCUCUGGUGUCCUCUGUAGUUGACUGGUCUCCUCUGUAGUUUACUGGUCUCCUCUGUAGUUGACUGGUCUCCUCUGGUCUCUGUAGUUGACUGGUCUCCUCUGUAGGUGACUGGUCUCCUCUGUAGUUGACUGGUCUCCUCUGUUCUCCUCUGCAGUUGACUGGUCUCCUCUGUAGUUGACUGGUCUCCUCUGGUCUCUGUAGUUGACUGGUCUCCUCUGUAGUUGACUGGUCUUCUCUGUAGUUGACUGGUAUCCUCUGGUCUCCUCUGUAGUUGACUGGUCUCCUCUGUAGUUGACUGGUCUCCUCUGGUCUCCUCUGUAGUUGACUGGUCUCCUCUGGUCUCCUCUGUAGUUGACUGGUCUCCUCUGGUCUCCUCUGUAGUUGACUGGUCUCCUCUGGUCUCCUCUAUAGUUGACUGGUCUCCUCUGGUCUCUGUAGUUGACUGGUCUCCUCUG